rnacentral:rRNA from 1 species
UCCUACGGGAGGCAGCAGUGAGGAAUAUUGGUCAGUGGCCGAGAGGCUGAACCAGCCAAGUCGCGUGAGGGAAGACGGCCCUACGGGUUGUAAACCUCUUUUGUCGGGGAGCAAAGAGAGUCACGUGUGACUCAUUGAGAGUACCCGAAGAAAAAGCAUCGGCUAACUCCGUGCCAGCAGCCGCGGUAAUACGGAGGAUGCGAGCGUUAUCCGGAUUUAUUGGGUUUAAAGGGUGCGUAGGCGGAAUGCCAAGUCAGCGGUAAAAUCGCGGGGCUCAACCUCGCUCCGCCGUUGAAACUGGCGUU